GCGGCGGGUGUCCUGGGCCGCGCGGCGCGCUGCGGUGGGAGUGUCUCCGGCCGAUCUGCAGGGAGGAUGCCUGAUGAGACCUCAAAUCCUGGUGCUGGUGUCAUGACUGGGAAUCUCAACUUAAAUCCAAAGUGUCAACUCCUGUGCA